rnacentral:rRNA from 1 species
AAAUUGAAGAGUUUGAUCAUGGCUCAGAUUGAACGCUGGCGGCAGGCCUAACACAUGCAAGUCGAACGGUAACAGGAAGAAGCUUGCUUCUUUGCUGACGAGUGGCGGACGGGUGAGUAAUGUCAGGGAAACUGCCUGAUGGAGGGGGAUAACUACUGGAAACGGUAGCUAAUACCGCAUAACGUCGCAAGACCA